rnacentral:rRNA from 1 species
CCUACGGGUGGCAGCAGUGGGGAAUAUUGCGCAAUGGGGGCAACCCUGACGCAGCAACGCCGCGUGAUUGAAGAAGGCCUUCGGGUUGUAAAGAUCUUUAAUCGGGGACGAAUUUUGACGGUACCCGAAGAAUAAGCUCCGGCUAACUACGUGCCAGCAGUCGCGGUAAUACGGAGGAUGCGAGCGUUAUCCGGAUUUAUUGGGUUUAAAGGGUGCGCAGGCGGCGAGUUAAGUCAGCGGUAAAAUUUCGGGGCUCAACCCCGACGAGCCGUUGAAACUGGCUUGCUAGAGUGGGCGAGAAGUAUGUGGAAUGCGUGGUGUAGCGGUGAAAUGCAUAGAUAUCACGCAGAACUCCGAUUGCGAAGGCAGCAUACCGGCGCCCAACUGACGCUCAGGCACGAAAGCGUGGGUAUCGAACAGGAUUAGAUACCCCGGUAGUC